rnacentral:rRNA from 1 species
GACGAACGCUGGCGGCGUGCUUAACACAUGCAAGUCGUACGGUAAGGCCCUUUCGGGGGUACACGAGUGGCGAACGGGUGAGUAACACGUGAGUAACCUGCCCACAACUUUGGGAUAACGCUAGGAAACUGGUGCUAAUACUGGAUAUGUGCUCCUGCUGCAUGGUGGGGGUUGGAAAGCUCCGGCGGUUGUGGAUGGACUCGCGGCCUAUCAGCUUGUUGGUGGGGUAGUGGCCUACCAAGGCGGCGACGGGUAGCCGGCCUGAGAGGGUGACCGGCCACAUUGGGACUGAGAUACGGCCCAGACUCCUGCGGGAGGCAGCAGUGGGGAAUAUUGCACAAUGGGCGCAAGCCUGAUGCAGCAACGCCGCGUGCGGGAUGACGGCCUUCGGGUUGUAAACCGCUUUCAGCAGGGACGAAGCUUUUUGUGACGGUACCUGCAGAAGAAGCACCGGCUAACUACGUG